rnacentral:rRNA from 1 species
AUGAUCUGCGAGGAGUGCUACAUGGACUGCGUCGCCGCCUCCGGCAACUGCACAGGCUGCAAGGAGGCCUACUCCGCCGGCAACGACACCGAUGACUCCGUCGACGAGGACGACGACGACGCCAUCUCCUCGUCGGAGGAGAGGGACCAGAUGCCCGUGACAUCCAUGUCCAAGCGCUUCUCCAUGGUGCACUCCAUCAAGAUGCCCAUGCCCAGCAGCAACAACAAGCCGGCCGACUUCGACCACGCCCGGUGGCUCUUUGAGACCAAGGGCACCUACAGCUACGACAACGCUCUAUGGCCCGAGAACGAGCAUGGCAGCGGCGGCAACAGCGCUAGGGCCACCUCCGGAUUCGUCGGCAUCGAGGAGCCACCCAACUUCGAUGCCCGUUGUUGCCGGCCCCUGAUGAGGAAAACCAACGUCUCUCAGGCCAUCCUCAGCCCAUACAGGAUGCUGAUUGCCAUCCGGCUGGUGGAGCUGGGGUUCUUCCUGGCGUGGCGCAUCCGGCACCCGAACCCGGACGCCAUGUGGCUGUGGGGGCUGUCGGUGACGUGUGAGGUGUGGUUCGCCUUCUCAUGGCUGCUCGACAGCCUCCCCAAGCUCUGCCCCGUCAACCGCCCUGCGACCUCGACGUCCUUGCCGACCGCUUCGAGUUGCUCACCGCAUGCAACCCCAAGGGCCGCUCCGACCUCCCCGGCAUCGACGUUUUCGUCUCCACCGCUGACCCGGAGAAGGAGCCGCCGCUUGUCACCGCGAACACCAUCCUCUGCAUCCUCGCCGCCGACUACCCGGUCGAGAAGCUCGCCUGCCACCUCUCCGACGACGGCGGCGCGCUCCUCACCCUUCGAGGCGCUCGCCGAGACCGCCAGCUUCACGCGCACGUGGGUGCCAUUCUGCCGGAAGCACGGCGUCAAGCCGCGCUGCUCGGAGUCAUACUUCGGCCAGAAGCGGGAUUUCCUCAAGAACAAGGUGCGGCUGGACUUCGUCCGCGAGAGUUGGAAGGUGAAGCAGGAGUACGACGAGUUCAAGGUGCGGGUCAACUUGCCGACGGAGGCGAUCCGACGGCGCUCCGACGCGUACAAUGCCGGCGAGGAGCUACGAGCAAGAAGGCGCCUUCAAGAGGAGGCUGUGGCUUGGGCCGGCACUUGGCUCGCCGGGGCGACGGAUCACACGCGCGGCAACCACGCUGGCAUCAUUCAGGCAAUGCAUGCGCCACCGGCGUCGGAGCCAGUGCUUGGCAGUGAGCCGGCAGAGUCCGGCGCGCUGAUCGACACGGCGGGCGUGGACAUCCGGCUGCCGAUACUGGUGUACGUUUUGCGCGAGAAGAGGCCCGGGUACGACCACAACAAGAAGGCCGGUGCCAUGAACACACUGGUCAGGACGAGUGCCAUCAUGUCGAACGGGCCCUUCAUCCUCAACCUGGACUGCGACCACUACGUGCACAACUCGGCGGCGCUCCGCGAAGGGAUGUGCUACAUGCUCGACCACCGCGGCGACUGCGUCUGCUACGUGCAGUUCCCACAGCGGUUCGAGGGCAUUGGCCCCAACGACCGGUACACCAACCACAACCUCGUCUUCUUCUAUGUCGCCAUGCGCGCCAUGGACGGGCUGCAGGGCCCCAUGUACAUCAGCACAGGCUGCAUCUUCCGCCGCACCGCUCUGUAUGGGUUCAGCCCGCCGCGCGCCACCAAGCACCAUGGCUGGCUCGGCAGGAAGAAGAUCAAGCUGUUCCUGAGGAAGCCCACCAUGGGGAAGAAAGACGGACAGGGAGCUAGUCAUGGCGUUUUUGCAAAAAAAAACGGAUCGAGUAGUAUUCACCCUAUGAUCGACUACGUAUGUGGCAGUCAAAGCGAGUUGGCGGCCGCUGACUCGGCCAAGUCAGCAAAUACAUACACAAAAACAUACAAAUGGACCAAAGUGAACCCCUUGCGCAAGUACUUGGACCGUACUUUGUGUAUUUUGAAGUAG